GUCGACCCGCUGAAUUUAAGCAUAUCACUAAGCGGAGGAAAAGAAACUAACCAGGAUUCCCUUAGUAACGGCGAGUGAAGAGGGAAGAGCCCAGCACCGAAGCCUGCGGUAGAUUUACUGCUAGGCAAUGUGGUGUUUAGGCCGGCACCGGGGAUUCGCCACUCCACUCGAAGUCCAGCAUUGAGUAUGGUUCCCAGGAAUUGGCCCAUAGAGGGUGAAAGGCCCGUACGAGUGGAUGUCAGAUAUGUAAGGCGUUUCACCAGGCCGACCUUAGAGUCGGGUUGUUUGGGAAUGCAGCCCAAAGUGGGUGGUAAACUCCAUCCAAGGCUAAAUACUAGCACGAGUCCGAUAGCGAACAAGUACCGUGAGGGAAAGUUGAAAAGCACUUUGAAGAGAGAGUAAAAAGUACGUGAAACCGCAUAGAGGUAAACGGGUGGCGUCAAGCUGCAUUCCUGGAGAAUUCAGUCGGUCAGGAUGUUGAAAUGCGCCCAGCGCAUCUAUCAGUCGGUGUAGAAUCUGACUAGUCCGCUGUAGAUUGGCGGGUCCAGCUGUAACAGGCUGAGAUUUGCGUACCAGCAGGUAGCUGGAGCAKGCUAGUCGAUUGUUGGACUGCCUGGCCGAUGCACUUUCUCUGUGGUGAACGCCACGACCGGUGUUACUGCCAGUCUGCUGUGGCCAGCUUCGCUAUGCAUUCUCGUGAAAACGGUGGUGCGUGGUGAUCACAGACAAUUUCAGGGCACGGUGCUUGUGUGCAUUCUAGCAUGCGGGCAUGUUAUCGGGUCCUGGUUGUAAGCGGGUCAGCCUAUCGACUAGUCUGUAGUCAUGGUCGAUGGGUGACCUGGUGGGCUAUGGUGGUAUGAAUAACUGUGCAAGACACUGGGGCUUUCGGUCGCUUGACAGUGAUCGCUUGCGAUUGCUGUCGCCGGUUGCAUGCGCACUACAGUUUAGCGUGUACUAUGCAAUGCUGGUACAGAGACGGUGCUGCUGCUGCCUGCCAUUUGCUGGGUCUGAUUGGCGUGUUGCCUGCUAAAAUGGCAGGUUCGACAAUGGCCUAGCAAUGGAUGGUGUGUGUGGGCAGUGCUGUUCUUGUGCUUCCGGCUGUUUCGGCCAAAUAGUCUGUGGCGUAGUGGUAGACGAGCUACCCGACCCGUCUUGAAACACGGACCAAGGAGUUUAACAUGCGCGCGAGUCAUUGGGUGCUACGAAACCUAAAGGCGCAGUGAAAGUGAAGCCUCGACAUUGUUCUCGGGGUGUGGUGAGAUCCUGCUGUUUCUCGCAUGCACAUGGCCAGCACUGGGCUAUUUAAUCGAGCAGUGGGCGCAUCACCGGCCCGUCUCAUGAUGUGGUUGUCUGUUGGUGGCAGUUGUCCUCGUGGUGACUGCCUUUCCGGCGGGCACGUCAUCGGGGCGGAGCAUGAGCGCGCAUGUUGAGACCCGAAAGAUGGUGAACUAUGCUUGCGUAGGUUGAAGCCAGAGGAAACUCUGGUGGAGGACCGCAGCGAUUCUGACGUGCAAAUCGAUCGUCAAACGUGAGUAUAGGGGCGAAAGACUAAUCGAACCAUCUAGUAGCUGGUUCCCUCCKAAGUUUCCCUCAGGAUAG
rnacentral:rRNA from 1 species